CCCCAGUAAACGGCGGUGGUAACUAUAACCAUCCUAAGGUAGCGAAAUUCCUUGUCGGGUAAGUUCCGACCUGCACGAAUGGCGUAACGACUUCCCCGCUGUCUCAACCAUGAGCUCGGCGAAAUUGCAGUACGAGUAAAGAUGCUCGUUUCGCGCAGAAGGACGGAAAGACCCCGGGACCUUUACUACAGCUUGGUAUUGGCGCCCGCUAUAGCUUGUGCAGGAUAGGUGGGAGACUGUGAAGCCGUUACGCCAGUGGCGGUGGAGUCGUCCUUGAAAUACCACUCUGGUUAUGGCGUGCGCCUGAACCUGGGCCCGUGAUCCGGGUUAGGGACAGUGCCUGGUGGGUAGUUUAACUGGGGCGGUUGCCUCCUAAAGUGUAACGGAGGCGCUCAAAGGUUCCCUCAGCCUGGUCGGCAACCAGGUGUUGAGUGCAAGUGCACAAGGGAGCUUGACUGUGAGACCGACGGGUCGAGCAGGUACGAAAGUAGGAACUAGUGAUCCGGCGAUCCCGUGUGGGUGGGUCGUCGCUCAACGGAUAAAAGGUACCCCGGGGAUAACAGGCUGAUCCUGCCCAAGAGUCCAUAUCGACGGCAUGGUUUGGCACCUCGAUGUCGGCUCGUCGCAUCCUGGGGCUGGAGCAGGUCCCAAGGGUUGGGCUGUUCGCCCAUUAAAGCGGUACGCGAGCUGGGUUUAGAACGUCGUGAGACAGUUCGGUCCCUAUCCUCUGCGCGCGCAGGAGACUUGAGAAGGCCUGUCCCUAGUACGAGAGGACCGGGACGGACGAACCUCUGGUGUGCCAGUUGUCCCGCCCGGGGCACGGCUGGUUGGCUACGUUCGGGAAGGGUAACCGCUGAAAGCAUCUAAGCGGGAAACCAU
rnacentral:rRNA from 1 species